GACGAACGCUGGCGGCGUGCUUAACACAUGCAAGUCGAACGGAAAGGCCCUGCUUUUGUGGGGUGCUCGAGUGGCGAACGGGUGAGUAACACGUGAGUAACCUGCCCUUGACUUUGGGAUAACUUCAGGAAACUGGGGCUAAUACCGGAUAGGAGCUCCUGCUGCAUGGUGGGGGUUGGAAAGUUUCGGCGGUUGGGGAUGGACUCGCGGCUUAUCAGCUUGUUGGUGGGGUAGUGGCUUACCAAGGCUUUGACGGGUAGCCGGCCUGGGAGGGUGACCGGCCACAUUGGGACUGAGAUACGGCCCAGACUCCGACGGGAGGCAGCAGUGGGGAAUAUGGCACAAUGGGCGGAAGCCUGAUGCAGCAACGCCGCGUGCGGGAGAACGGCCUGCGGGUUGGAAACCGAUUUCGCCUGUGACGAAGCGUGAGUGACGGUAAUGGGUAAAGAAGCACCGGCUAACUACGUG
rnacentral:rRNA from 1 species